rnacentral:rRNA from 1 species
AGAGUUUGAUCCUGGCUCAGGACGAACGCUGGCGGCGUGCCUAAUACAUGCAAGUAGAACGCUGAAGAGAGGAGCUUGCUCUUCUUGGAUGAGUUGCGAACGGGUGAGUAACGCGUAGGUAACCUGCCUUGUAGCGGGGGAUAACUAUUGGAAACGAUAGCUAAUACCGCAUAACAAUGGAUGACACAUGUCAUUUAUUUGAAAGGGGCAAUUGCUCCACUACAAGAUGGACCUGCGUUGUAUUAGCUAGUAGGUGAGGUAACGGCUCACCUAGGCGACGAUACAUAGCCGACCUGAGAGGGUGAUCGGCCACACUGGGACUGAGACACGGCCCAGACUCCUACGGGAGGCAGCAGUAGGGAAUCUUCGGCAAUGGGGGCAACCCUGACCGAGCAACGCCGCGUGAGUGAAGAAGGUUUUCGGAUCGUAAAGCUCUGUUGUAAGUCAAGAACGAGUGUGAGAGUGGAAAGUUCACACUGUGACGGUAGCUUACCAGAAAGGGACGGCUAACUACGUGCCAGCAGCCGCGGUAAUACGUAGGUCCCGAGCGUUGUCCGGAUUUAUUGGGCGUAAAGCGAGCGCAGGCGGUUUGAUAAGUCUGAAGUUAAAGGCUGUGGCUCAACCAUAGUUCGCUUUGGAAACUGUCAAACUUGAGUGCAGAAGGGGAGAGUGGAAUUCCAUGUGUAGCGGUGAAAUGCGUAGAUAUAUGGAGGAACACCGGUGGCGAAAGCGGCUCUCUGGUCUGUAACUGACGCUGAGGCUCGAAAGCGUGGGGAGCGAACAGGAUUAGAUACCCUGGUAGUCCACGCCGUAAACGAUGAGUGCUAGGUGUUGGAUCCUUUCCGGGAUUCAGUGCCGCAGCUAACGCAUUAAGCACUCCGCCUGGGGAGUACGACCGCAAGGUUGAAACUCAAAGGAAUUGACGGGGGCCCGCACAAGCGGUGGAGCAUGUGGUUUAAUUCGAAGCAACGCGAAGAACCUUACCAAGUCUUGACAUCCUUUGACCACUCUAGAGAUAGAGCUUUCCCUUCGGGGACAAAGUGACAGGUGGUGCAUGGUUGUCGUCAGCUCGUGUCGUGAGAUGUUGGGUUAAGUCCCGCAACGAGCGCAACCCCUAUUGUUAGUUGCCAUCAUUCAGUUGGGCACUCUAGCGAGACUGCCGGUAAUAAACCGGAGGAAGGUGGGGAUGACGUCAAAUCAUCAUGCCCCUUAUGACCUGGGCUACACACGUGCUACAAUGGUUGGUACAACGAGUUGCGAGUCGGUGACGGCAAGCUAAUCUCUUAAAGCCAAUCUCAGUUCGGAUUGUAGGCUGCAACUCGCCUACAUGAAGUCGGAAUCGCUAGUAAUCGCGGAUCAGCACGCCGCGGUGAAUACGUUCCCGGGCCUUGUACACACCGCCCGUCACACCACGAGAGUUUGUAACACCCGAAGUCGGUGAGGUAACCUUUUGGAGCCAGCCGCCUAAGGUGGGAUAGAUGAUUGGGGUGAAGUCGUAACAAGGUAGCCGUAUCGGAAGGUGCGGCUG